UACAGAGGGUGCGAGCGUUAAUCGGAAUUACUGGGCGUAAAGGGUGCGUAGGUGGUUUUGUAAGUCAGAUGUGAAAGCCCCGGGCUCAACCUGGGAACUGCAUUUGAGACUGCUCUGCUCGGGUGCGGAAGAGGGAAGCGGAAUUUCCGGUGUAGCGGUGAAAUGCGUAGAUAUCGGAAGGAACACCAGUGGCGAAAGCGGCUUCCUGGUCCGACACCGACGUUCAGGCACGAAAGCGUGGGGAGCAAACAGG
rnacentral:rRNA from 1 species